AUUGAACGCUGGCGGCAGGCCUAACACAUGCAAGUCGAACGGUAACAGGAAGAGGCUUGCUUCUUUGCUGACGAGUGGCGGACGGGUGAGUAAUGUCUGGGAAACUGCCUGAUGGCGGGGGAUAACUACUGGAAACGGUAGCUAAUACCGCAUAACGUCGCAAGACCAAAGAGGGGGACCUUCUGGCCUCUUGCCAUCGGAUGUGCCCAGAUGGGAUUAGCUAGUAGGUGGGGUAACGGCUCACCUAGGCGACGAUCCCUAGCUGGUCUGAGAGGAUGACCAGCCACACUGGAACUGAGACACGGUCCAGACUCCUACGGGAGGCAGCAGUGGGGAAUAUUGCACAAUGGGCGCAAGCCUGAUGCAGCCAUGCCGCGUGUAUGAAGAAGGCCUUCGGGUUGUAAAGUACUUUCAGCGGGGAGGAAGGGAGUAAAGUUAAUACCUUGGCUUAUUGACGUUACCCGCAGAAGAAGCACCGGCUAACUCCGUG
rnacentral:rRNA from 1 species